rnacentral:rRNA from 1 species
AUUGAACGCUGGCGGCGUGCUUAACACAUGCAAGUCGAUCGGUAACGCGGGGGCAACCCUGGCGACGAGAGGCGGACGGGUGAGGAACGCUUGGGAAUCUGCCUAUCAGCGGGGGACAACACGGGGAAACUCGUGCUAAUACCGCAUACGCUCUACGGAGGAAAGCCGGGGACCGCAAGGCCUGGCACUGAUAGACGAGCCCAAGCCGGAUUAGCUAGUUGGCGGGGUAACGGCCCACCAAGGCGACGAUCCGUAGCUGGUCUGAGAGGACGAUCAGCCACACUGGGACUGAGACACGGCCCAGACUCCUACGGGAGGCAGCAGUGGGGAAUAUUGGACAAUGGGGGAAACCCUGAUCCAGCGACGCCGCGUGGGUGAAGAAGGCCUGCGGGUCGUAAAGCCCUUUCGGUAGGGACGAAAGCUCUCGACCUAACACGUCGGGAGGUUGACUUAACCUACAGAAGAAGCACCGGCUAACUCUGUGCCAGCCGCCGCAGUAAGAC